AUUGAAAGCUGGCGGCAGGCUUAACAAAUGCAAGUCGAACGAGCGGAGGACGGGUGAGUAAUGUCUGGGAAACUGCCUGCUGGAGGGGGAUAACUACUGGAAACGGUAGCUACUACCGCAUACCAUCAGAUGUGCCCAGAUGGGAUUAGCCAGUAGGUGGGGUAAUGGCUCACCUAGGCGAAGAUCCCUAGCUGGUCUGAGAGGAGUACCAGCCACACUGGAACUGAGACACGUUCCAGACUCCUACGGGCGGCAGCAGUGGGGAAUAUUGCACAAUGGGCGCAAGCCUGAUGCAGCCAUGCCGCGUGUGUGAAGAAGGCCUUCGGGUUGUAAAGUACUUUCAGCGAGGAGGCGUUACUCGCAGAAGAAGCACCGGCUAACUCCGUGCCAGCAGCCGCGGUAAUUC
rnacentral:rRNA from 1 species